rnacentral:lncRNA from 1 species
CACGGGCACAAGCAUCUGGUUGCUGGUGAUCUGGCCAAAGUGAAUCCUAAAAGAAAACAGUCGCGCUGUAAAGAAAGGAUCCGACCUACCGGUCCCUUCUCGAAACCUGCUAAUCCAGUGACAUCUUCUCUUCAGCAAUCUACCACAGAGAUUACAAUGGGAAGCUUGAGAGAUACAGUGAAGAAUGCUAGCUCACGGGGACUGUUGAGAGCUCAUUUCUUCUCGGUACAGCUCAAUUGCCUCCAUGAUCCUCUCAGCCUACACAGACGACAAAGGAAGAGAUCACCCAGUGCACACCCACGACACCCAAGAGCUGGGAAGGCCUGGCUAAUGUAGCCUGAAUCAGCUUAAUAAAGACAUGGCAGCCGGAGUGCAGCGCAGCA